ensembl:lncRNA
CCGGCGACCCCCAGCAUCACCUACUCGACCCAACUGACCCACAGACUCCUCCCUCUUAUACCAUUAACCCCUCCCACACCCUGUGACAGACAGCGAGGACAGACACACCCAUUCAGCCAGAACCCCUCCCCUUCCUGCUCCUCAGCUCACACACACAUUAAUACACAUCAUACAACUCUAUAACCCUCUGUCAGAGUUUAACUUUCGUUUCACAUAAUCCUGUCAUCGUCAAACCAAAACCAAUACUUGAGGAACUAUUGACAUCUUGAGAGCUGGAAGGUUAAAAACAUUUAUUUAGGAAAGGUAGCUCUAGAACACAACACUUUAAUGAACUCAAACUCUUUGACAGAUGGUUGAUGAGUUAUACGUCACUGUUUAUCCUCUUUAUUUUAAAGAAUGAGCUUGACAAGAAAAGAUAGAUGAAUGAGCACAGGGUUUGAUAAAUGCAUUUCUGUCACUUUCUUUACUUUCUGUCAUCUUUAAGCUUCUUUUGCCUAGCAGAUGCUUGAUUUGCUGCUGUUUAUGGAUGCAUUAUCUCUCCAAAGUGUGCUCUGGAGUCUCAUGAUAACUGCAUCUUCUGGAAUGAGCUCGUGUGCUUCUGUAUUUCUGUUCAUUACUUCGGCUCUUUUUGUUUUUGUUUCGCAUGUGUGUCGGGCUGCAGUGGUCCCUGAGCUCACGGGCCAGAAGACGACACCAGACUCCCCGAAGGCCGGUCAAACACAGGCGGCCCUUCUCGCCCCGAGAGCCCCUUUUCUCCACGCGACCCUUAGCAUCAUUUCUUCUUCUGUUCCUCCCCACAUCGAGUAAAACAACCCAAACCCACCAGCACAAGAGAAACAACACCAACCAGAAACCUUCCAGAUGUUCCCUGCAUCCUCGGCUGGAGGAACGAGUUUCUCUCUUCGGUGAAACCUCCUUCAAGCUCACUGAUCAAACCUUCAAGAAACUCAUUAUAAAGGGAUCAUUCACACAAAAAUUCACCCUCAUGUCGUUUCCCUUUUUCUGUGGAACACAAAAGAAAAUAUUCUGAAGCACUAAACGGUUUCGGGUCCCACUGACUUCCAUAGUUUGGACAAACAGUACUGUGAAAGUCAAUGGGGCCCAAAACGAUUUGCUAUCUGUUCCAGAGCCAUUUAUUCCCCACACUGAAAACAAUCCCAAUUUUUGUCUCUUUUUCCAGUUCAAAGGAUGUUCAGCUGCUGGAAAACCUGAAAAAAGCACAAAAACAGGGAUUUCCUUGCAGUGCAAACCUUGUGCCGAUGUAAAAGCUCUCAGGUACGAGGACGUGUGUUCACUCUCAGACAUCACUCAUUCAUUCACGCAGCUUCAUGUCAUUUUAAACACAGCAGUGCAGUUUUCGGGUGAACAGACGUUCUCGAGUUCGGUGAGAUGCUUGCGUGUUUACAGCUGAUUUAAUAAACGAGUAGAGACUAAUGCUGAAGACUGUUGA